rnacentral:rRNA from 1 species
UACGGGGGGUGCGAGCGUUGUCCGGAAUCACUGGGCGUAAAGGGCGCGUAGGCGGCCUCUGCAAGUCGACUGUGAAAUCUCCGGGCUUAACCCGGAAAGGUCAGCCGAUACUGCAGGGCUAGAGUGCAGAAGGGGCAACUGGAAUUCUCGGUGUAGCGGUGAAAUGCGUAGAUAUCGAGAGGAACACCUGCGGCGAAGGCGGGUUGCUGGGCUGACACUGACGCUGAGGCGCGAAAGCUAGGGGAGCGAACGGG